GCAGCCGCGGUAAUACGGAGGAUGCGAGCGUUAUCCGGAUUUAUUGGGUUUAAAGGGAGCGUAGACGGGGGAUUAAGUCAGUUGUGAAAGGCUGCGGCUCAACCGCAGCACUGCAGUUGAUACUGGUUCCCUUGAGUGCGGUUGAGGUAUGUGGAAUUCGUGGUGUAGCGGUGAAAUGCUUAGAUAUCACGAAGAACUCCGAUUGCGAAGGCAGCAUACUAAGCCGCUACUGACGUUGAGGCUCGAAAGUGUGGGUAUCAAACAGGAUUAGAUACCCC
rnacentral:rRNA from 1 species